GUCUACGGCCAUACUACCCUGAACGUGCCAGAUCCCGUCUGAUCUCGGAAGCUAAGCAGGGUCAGGCCUGGUUAGUACUUGGAUUGGAGACCGCCUGGGAAUACCGGGUGCUGUAGGCU